AACAAACGCUGGCGGCGUGCCUAAUACAUGCAAGUCGAACGGGGAAAGCUUUCGGGUGAGUACUAGUGGCGCACGGGUGAGGAACGCGUGGAUAAUCUGCCUUAGAGUGGGGGAUAACUAGUCGAAAGACUAGCUAAUACCGCAUAAGACCACAAGAACUGCGGUUCAAGGGGUCAAAGGUUUUUCGCUCUAAGAUGAGUCCGCGUAAGAUUAGCUAGUUGGUAGGGUAACGGCCUACCAAGGCUACGAUCUUUAACUGGUCUGAGAGGAUGAUCAGCCACACUGGAACUGAGACACGGUCCAGACUCCUACGGGAGGCAGCAGUAGGGAAUAUUGCACAAUGGAGGAAACUCUGAUGCAGCGACGCCGCGUGAGUGAUGAAGGCCUUCGGGUCGUAAAGCUCUGUCGCAGGGGAAUAACACAAUGAAGGUACCCUGUAAGAAAGGAUCGGCUAACUUCGUGCCAGCAGCCGCCGUAAAAC
rnacentral:rRNA from 1 species